rnacentral:rRNA from 1 species
UACAGAGGUCCCAAGCGUUGUUCGGAUUCACUGGGCGUAAAGGGUCCGUAGGCGGUGCGGUAAGUCGGGAGUGAAAUCUCUGGGCUUAACUCAGAGGCUGCUUCCGAAACUACCGUGCUAGAGUGCGAGAGAGGCAAGUGGAAUUGCGGGUGUAGCGGUGAAAUGCGUAGAUAUCCGCAGGAACAUCCGAGGCGAAAGCGGCUUGCUGGAUCGCAACUGACGCUGAGGGACGAAAGCUAGGGGAGCAAACAGG